AGCAGCCGCGGUAAUUCCAGCUCCAAUAGCGUAUAUUAAAGUUGUUGCAGUUAAAAAGCUCGUAGUUGAAUUUCGGGAUCAGUUGAUCGGUCGUGCCUCGGUACGUACUGGUCAAAUUGAUUCCUACCUUCUGACGAACCACGAUGUCAUUAAUUUGGUGUCGCGGGAAAUCAGGACUGUUACUUUGAAAAAUUAGAGUGUUUAAAGCAGGCUCGCGCUUGAAUACAUUAGCAUGGAAUAAUGAAAUAGGACGUUUGAUUCUAUUUUGUUGGUUUCUAGGAUCGACGUAAUGAUUAAUAGGGAUAGUUGGGGGCAUUAGUAUUCAAUUGUCAGAGGUGAAAUUCUUGGAUUUAUUGAAGACUAACUACUGCGAAAGCAUUUGCCAAGGAUGUUUUCAUUAAUCAAGAACGAAAGUUAGGGGAUCGAAGACGAUCAGAUACCGUCGUAGUCUUAACCAUAAACUAUGCCGACUA
rnacentral:misc_RNA from 1 species